AGAAAUGAUGAGCUUGGCCGCUACCCGAUCGAUGAGGGUUAAACUCCGGUGCUGAUC
rnacentral:ncRNA from 14 species